rnacentral:tRNA from 1 species
GCUGCAGUAGCUCAGUGGUAGAGCCCCGCUUCGCAUGCGGGGAGAGAUGGGUUCGAUUCCCGGCUGCUUCC